CGCGGCGGGCUCGGCCGGGAUUUCGGGGAAGGCGGCACCGCUCCCCGGGUUCUGUGAGCAUCCGUGGAGGCGCCGGCCCGGCCCGGCCCGGCCCUGGAGCGGGCGCUGUACUGACGCCGGUCCUGCGGACGCGGCCCUGGCAACUUUUAAAUGGCCAGCCUGUCCCCCGGGGAAAGCAGAGGGAUUCUCUCUUCUGGAGUCUUCCAUUCGAAGAAAGCACCAUCUUGACUUUUAUCAAGAACACUAUAACAUCUUCAACAGGAAUGCUGAACCUUCCAGAUAUCUGUACCCACCUUCCAUCACUUUUAGAAGUUUACCCCUCAAUGUUAAAUCAUUCUGCUACUAAACUGCUACUAACUUUCAAAGAGCUGUGAGUUCUGCUGUUCUGCCUUCUCUUGCUGCUGCCAAAAGUAAUUCUUCAAGCUUUCUUUGUUGAGUCCUUUCUACAGCUGCAAAAGGAAAAAUGAAGAAACUGAGGCAGCAAGAGGUUAAGGAACUUAACGUAAGCCACACAGCCAGGAUGUGGAGGAGCUGGGACUUGAACUUCGGCAGAUUGUCUAGGCUCAUAAAUGAAGGAAAACUGGAUCUGGAGUUGAAAACCCUGCUUGUGUUCCUGUCCUGUGUUCCUUCUGGACACUGAAAGAAGACUGCUGAUCCAGCCAAUAAAAACAAAUAUUCCAAUUUGCGGACGCAAGGCUUCUAGAGUGCCCAUAAUGUUCUGUUCCUUGACAUGGGUGCUGUUUACAUGGAUGUGUUCCCCUUGUGAAAACAGCAAGCUGUGCAUUAAUAAUGUGUACUUUUAUCCAUAUAUUUUAUACCUUAAUAAAUGUUCUUUAAA